rnacentral:siRNA from 1 species
UGGCUAGAGUUUUCGGAGUCC